rnacentral:rRNA from 1 species
CCGUGAGCUAACCGCAAGGAGGCAGCGGCCGAAGGUAGGGUCAGCGAUUGGGGUGAAGUCGUAACAAGGUAGCCGUAGGAGAACCUGCGGCUGGAUCACCUCCUUUCUAAGG